CAGUCUCAGUUCGGAUUGAAGGCUGAAAUUCGCCUUCAUGAAGCCGGAAUUGCUAGUAAUGGCAGGUCAGCAUACUGCCGUGAAUACGUUCCCGGGCCUUGUACACACCGCCCGUCACACCAUGAGAGUUGGCAAUACCCAACGUACGUGAUCUAACCCGCAAGGGAGGAAGCGUCCUAAGGUAGGGUCAGCGAUUGGGGUGAAGUCGUAACAAGGUAGC
rnacentral:rRNA from 1 species